AGGUCGAAAUUUUCAAAAUUUUGGAAAAUUGAACAUCGAGAAAGUUACCCGAAAAUCCACAAAUUCUAUAAUAUAAAUCUCGACAAACUAUAUCGAAAAGCAGCUGGGAACAAAAUUUUCAAAAUAUUCAGUUUUAAGAUAAUAUUUUCUAAAAGUUAAAAAUUUCAAAAUCUUGAAACAUAAGCUAAUUUAGACGCUACAGGGAAUCAAAUACAUUUUCGAAAAUGCUCGGAAAAAGGUCGAAAUUUUCAAAAUUGUAAAAAAUUUAACUUUUGGCCUGAAAAUCCACAAAUUCUCAAA